rnacentral:rRNA from 1 species
ACAAGCGGUGGAGCAUGUGGUUUAAUUCGAAGCAACGCGAAGAACCUUACCAGGUCUUGACAUCCCCUGACAACCGAGAGAUCGGGCGGUUCCCCCUUCGGGGGGACAGGGUGACAGGUGGUGCAUGGUUGUCGUCAGCUCGUGUCGUGAGAUGUUGGGUUAAGUCCCGCAACGAGCGCAACCCUCGACCUUAGUUGCCAGCGAGUCAAGUCGGGCACUCUAAGGUGACUGCCGGCUAAAAGUCGGAGGAAGGUGGGGAUGACGUCAAAUCAUCAUGCCCUUAUGACCUGGGCUACACACGUGCUACAAUGGGCGGUACAAAGGGUCGCGAACCCGCGAGGGGGGAGCCAAUCCCAAAAAGUCGCUCCCAGUUCGGAUUGCAGGCUGCAACUCGCCUGCAUGAAGCCGGAAUCGCUAGUAAUCGCGGAUCAGCAUGCCGCGGUCGAAUACGUUCCCGGGCCUU